rnacentral:tRNA from 2 species
GCGGAAUUAGUUCAGUGGUAGAACGCUAGCCUUCCAAGCUCGAUGUCGCGGGUUCGAGUCCCGCAUUCCGCU